CCCAGACUCCUACGGGAGGCAGCAGUGGGGGAUAUUGCACAAUGGGGGAAACCCUGAUGCAGCGACGCCGCGUGGGUGAAGAAGUAUUUCGGUAUGUAAAGCCCUAUCAGCAGGGAAGAAAGAGGACGGUACCUGACUAAGAAGCCCCGGCUAACUACGUGCCAGCAGCCGCGGUAAUACGUAGGGGGCGAGCGUUAUCCGGAUUCACUGGGUGUAAAGGGAGCGUAGACGGCCGUGCAAGCCAGGAGUGAAAGCCCGGGGCCCAACCCCGGGACUGCUCUCGGAACUGUGCGGCUGGAGUGCGGGAGGGGCAGGCGGAAUUCCUGGUGUAGCGGUGAAAUGCGUAGAUAUCAGGAGGAACACCGGCGGCGAAGGCGGCCUGCUGGACCGCGACUGACGUUGAGGCUCGAAAGCGUGGGGAGCGAACAGGAUUAGAUACCCGAGUA
rnacentral:rRNA from 1 species